UAAACAUCGAAAUGGUUUUAAAGCAGGACUUUGGUGCAAGACAAAGGAAACUUGGAGAUUCUAGUGGAUUGCAGAAGCCAAGUUGUGUAUGCAUCAUGUUAAAUAAAUGUCCCACGAUGGUGUAAAUUGUGGAGCCUGGAGAGCUGUUGUCGGAUGAAACAGUCUAGGAUUUCCUCUGGCACUUCUAGUUACAAAUUUUUGAGAAGCAAUUUUCUUGAAAUCAUCCAGGUGUGGAGACUGAAUCCCAGUUUAGAUCAGUCAACUUACUCAACAUGCUAGCUGAUAUUUAAAGAAAUAAUGCUCCAUUUUCUUUAAAAAAAAAUUACUUUGAGUGUAAGCAGUAUAAAAACUCUUGUUUUUGUGAAAGAUCAGCAUCAGUAAUUUCAGACAAACGUGAUUGAAAUCUUGGGAUCACUAUCACCCUCCUAUUUUUGUCGGACUAACUACAAUAAUGCAAUUAGUAGGAUGGGAUAUACAAAUGUGUCAAAGCAAAGCCCAUCCUCAUUUAACAAUCAAUGUCAACUUACACAAAAACAUGAGCAAAAUUUAUCAACGCGUGUUUUAUCCGUAAGCCAAUUUCCAGUGUUGUGCAAAUGAAUUUCAAAGCCUUCUUCUCCAGCUAGUGAAAAACUAACCAUUAACUGGAUGUCCUUGGAACAGUGGAGGAUGAGAGGUGACCUGAUAGAGGUGUGUAAGAUGAUGAGAGGCAUUGAUAGUCAGAAGCUUUUUCCCAGGGCUGAAAUGGCUAAUACAACAAGGUACAGUUUUAAGGUGCUUGGAAGUAGGUACAAGAGGAGGUAUUGGGGUAAGUUUUUUUUUUAAACGCAGAGAAUGGUGGUGCCAGUCACGGUGGUGGAGGUGGAUACAAUAGGGUCUUAUAGGAGAUUCUUGGAUAGGUACAUGGAGCUUAGGAAAAUAGACGGCUACGGGUAACUCUAGGUAAUUUCUACGUAAGUACGUGUUCAGCAUAGCAUUGUGGGCCGAAGGGCCUGUACUGUGCUAUAGGUUUUCUAUGUUUCUACAUCUGGUGUGCAUACUCACUUGGGAUAAGACAGGGCUUUCUGUGACACAUUAUUAAGGAGCUUGGAAAGCAUUACUAUUCUUACUUUACAAUUAUUAUUAUCCAAUCCAUCAACUUGUAAUUUAUUUAAAAGGCCUUAAGGAUAUACACAAGAUCUUAUGACAAUUUAUGAUCUGGUUCUCAACACUAAGACAGAUUAAACAUUUUGCUAUCAAGUAAUUUCAAACAACAAUACAUCUGACCAAUCUGAAGAGAACUUCGAUUACUUUCUGCCCCUAACAUGUUAAAACAAAUUGUUUGUAAUUAUCAAUAAUAAUUGAUGGCUGGUUUAACACACAGAUAUGACAUUGCUCUAUUGAUUAACUGAAAAUUACAAUAAAGCCUUUAAGCCUUUAAGAUUAGUGCCCAAUGUUACAAUUGCAGUUAACUUGAAUAAGUCGAAUACUUUUCUAUAAAGGCGAAAAUUCAUCCUCUGCCCUCUGGAAACAGAAGUCAAUACAUCAUGUAAUCACAUGAGCACAAUAUGCAGGAAACUGGUGCUUAACUUUAACUGUCAGAUGAAUCUGUCCAUUUCAUUUUUGGAGCUAAUAACUGACUGUGAUUGCUCAGGUUUCUCCUGGUAGUCCAAAGGUACUGACUAUUCAAACAGGGCAGAGUGCAUUCUCUAUGUCUCUACAAUACCAGACACUCAGAAUGAGUAGUUAAUUUACUUCACAGUUUUCAAAAAUAUUAAAUAUAUCUAAAUAUUACAAGUUACUCCCAAACAAACCAAGAGUGAUAUAAUGUAGUAAUAUAACAGAUAGUUUAAAAGUAAGGAACUAUUACCAUCAAUCCCACUACUUACUUUGGUUCCAAUCUUUGGCAGUAACAAGGAUGCUCAAAGCCAGUUAAUGCAUCUGAAUUGGGUAAGAUUUUCUUCCUCUCAAGAAAGCAGCUGUAACUAAUCUUGAAGCACAUAAGCUUUCAAAUUAUCACCUCUUCAAGAACUUCCUUUGUAGAAAAUUAUUUCUGUUUUUCAGCAACUGAUCUGUUCGGCUUCACUAAAUAAUCUCCCCUUUAUCAGCAACUCAGGAACUAUGAGCUAAUCUUCAAACUUUUUAUUUUCACUUCAAGUUCAUAAUUACGCAUAAUCAAAAUUAUGAAUUUCUAUUAACUUCCAAUGCGGGCACCAUUUUUGCUAGCAAAACUCAAAAAUCACAGGUUGAAAUAUUAAAAAUCUGGUGGUUGUCACAUUGUCCCAUUUGAUAGGAUAAUGAUAAGCAAAUUUUAAAAUGCAAUCCAUGCUAUUUUACAUGUUCAGAAUCAGAAUUAUUAUCACCGGCAUGUAUCGUGAAAUUCUUCUACAAUAAGCAUUUUUUUCUUACUCAUAGUGCAUAUAAUUGUAUGAAAAGUAUACUACCUAAAUGUGUUACUUGAACAAACCAGUUCCUACUGAUUGGAUUGAGGAAUAGUAUUAGUCUCAGA